UUUCCCCCCGCGGGAGAGACCGCGCAUAUGCGCGGCGCCGAAGGCGCAACUCCGCCCGGAAUCGCUCAGGCAAAAGGACCGCGGGGGUUAA
rnacentral:ncRNA from 2 species